rnacentral:rRNA from 1 species
CCGACGAAGGGGGAAACCUCCGGUGUCCUGGCUGCCCUGCGACGGUCGUGCAGCAGAGGAGCAAUGCAUCUCUCUCUCGCGGCGUGCAAAAGGUCGGUGACCCACCCGACCCGUCUUGAAACACGGACCAAGGAGUCUAACAUGUGUGCGAGUCAUUGGGCGCACUAAACCCAGAGGCGAAAUGAAAGUGAAAGGAGGGUGCGGUUUCGGCCGUGCUCUCCGGGGCCGAUCCCCGACCGGCUGUUGCCGCCGUGGUUCCCAUACCAAAGCGAGGUUACACAUAGGAGGUUUGGCGGGGUGAGUCCCUUUCCCCCGUCUGCCUCUGGCCCCGUGGGUUCCCGGUGCGCACGACGGUCCGGCUCCUUCACGGGAGUCGCCUGUACGCAGGGGGGCGCAGGCCCGGGACUUGCCAUUCGACGCCGCGCGCGAAUCUGUUGUUGGCCUCGCCGGCUUUGCUUGGGCUCUCGGUUGGCGCGCCGCGCGUCAG